UGAAGCCCAAACAUUUCUUUUUAGUUUAUUGUUUAUUUGUCAGGGACAAUGUACAAAUAUAUUAAUCUCAAAGAAAAGAGAUGCUUUGCACCAGAGUUAGCUACAAGCUACUGUCCAUCUGCUG